rnacentral:rRNA from 1 species
GAGCGCAACCCCUAUCUUUAGUUGCCAUCAGGUUGGGCUGGGCACUCUAGAGAGACUGCCGGUGACAAGCCGGAGGAAGGUGGGGAUGACGUCAAGUCCUCAUGGCCCUUAUGUCCUGGGCUACACACGUGCUACAAUGGCGGUGACAGUGGGAAGCUAGGUGGUGACACCAUGCUGAUCUCUAAAAGCCGUCUCAGUUCGGAUUGCACUCUGCAACUCGAGUGCAUGAAGGUGGAAUCGCUAGUAAUCGCGGAUCAGCAUGCCGCGGUGAAUACGUUCCCGGGUCUUGUACACAC